AGUUUGAUCCUGGCUCAGGAUGAACGCUAGCUACAGGCUUAACACAUGCAAGUCGAGGGGAAACGAUAUUGGAAGCUUGCUUCCGAUAGGCGUCGACCGGCGCACGGGUGAGUAACGCGUAUCCAACCUGCCCAUCACUUGGGGAUAACCUUGCGAAAGUAAGACUAAUACCCAAUGACGUCUCUAGAGGACAUCUGAAAGAGAUUAAAGAUUUAUCGGUGAUGGAUGGGGAUGCGUCUGAUUAGCUUGUUGGCGGGGUAACGGCCCACCAAGGCGACGAUCAGUAGGGGUUCUGAGAGGAAGGUCCCCCACAUUGGAACUGAGACACGGUCCAAACUCCUACGGGAGGCAGCAGUGAGGAAUAUUGGUCAAUGGGCGAGAGCCUGAACCAGCCAAGUAGCGUGCAGGAUGACGGCCCUAUGGGUUGUAAACUGCUUUUAUAAGGGAAUAAAGUGAGUCUCGUGAGACUUUUUGCAUGUACCUUAUGAAUAAGGACCGGCUAAUUCCGUGCCAGCAGCCGCGGUAAUACGGAAGGUCCGGGCGUUAUCCGGAUUUAUUGGGUUUAAAGGGAGCGUAGGCCGGAGAUUAAGCGUGUUGUGAAAUGUAGACGCUCAACGUCUGCACUGCAGCGCGAACUGGUUUCCUUGAGUACGCACAAAGUGGGCGGAAUUCGUGGUGUAGCGGUGAAAUGCUUAGAUAUCACGAAGAACUCCGAUUGCGAAGGCAGCUCACUGGAGCGCAACUGACGCUGAAGCUCGAAAGUGCGGGUAUCGAACAGGAUUAGAUACCCUGGUAGUCCGCACGGUAAACGAUGGAUGCCCGCUGUUGGUCUGAAUAGGUCAGCGGCCAAGCGAAAGCAUUAAGCAUCCCACCUGGGGAGUACGCCGGCAACGGUGAAACUCAAAGGAAUUGACG
rnacentral:rRNA from 1 species